rnacentral:rRNA from 1 species
AGAGUUUGAUCAUGGCUCAGGACGAACGCUGGCGGCGUGCUUAACACAUGCAAGUCGAACGAUGAUGCCCAGCUUGCUGGGUGGAUUAGUGGCGAACGGGUGAGUAACACGUGAGUAACCUGCCCCUGACUCUGGGAUAAGCGUUGGAAACGACGUCUAAUACUGGAUAUGACUGCCGGCCGCAUGGUCUGGUGGUGGAAAGAUUUUUUUGGUUGGGGAUGGACUCGCGGCCUAUCAGCUUGUUGGUGAGGUAAUGGCUCACCAAGGCGACGACGGGUAGCCGGCCUGAGAGGGUGACCGGCCACACUGGGACUGAGACACGGCCCAGACUCCUACGGGAGGCAGCAGUGGGGAAUAUUGCACAAUGGGCGAAAGCCUGAUGCAGCAACGCCGCGUGAGGGAUGACGGCCUUCGGGUUGUAAACCUCUUUUAGUAGGGAAGAAGCGUAAGUGACGGUACCUGCAGAAAAAGCACCGGCUAACUACGUGCCAGCAGCCGCGGUAAUACGUAGGGUGCAAGCGUUGUCCGGAAUUAUUGGGCGUAAAGAGCUCGUAGGCGGUUUGUCGCGUCUGCUGUGAAAUCCCGAGGCUCAACCUCGGGCUUGCAGUGGGUACGGGCAGACUAGAGUGCGGUAGGGGAGAUUGGAAUUCCUGGUGUAGCGGUGGAAUGCGCAGAUAUCAGGAGGAACACCGAUGGCGAAGGCAGAUCUCUGGGCCGUAACUGACGCUGAGGAGCGAAAGCGUGGGGAGCGAACAGGAUUAGAUACCCUGGUAGUCCACGCCGUAAACGUUGGGCGCUAGAUGUAGGGACCUUUCCACGGUUUCUGU